rnacentral:rRNA from 1 species
GAUGAACGCUGGCGGCGUGCCUAAUACAUGCAAGUCGAGCGAAUGGAUUAAGAGCUUGCUCUUAUGAAGUUAGCGGCGGACGGGUGAGUAACACGUGGGUAACCUGCCCAUCAGACUGGGAUAACUCCGGGAAACCGGGGCUAAUACCGGAUAACAUUUUGAACCGCAUGGGUCGAAAUUGAAAGGCGGCUUCGGCUGUCACUUAUGGAUGGACCGGCGUCGCAUUAGCUAGUUGGUGAGGUAACGGCUCACCAAGGCAACGAUGCGUAGCCGACCUGAGAGGGUGAUCGGCCACACUGGGACUGAGACACGGCCCAGACUCCUACGGGAGGCAGCAGUAGGGAAUCUUCCGCAAUGGACGAAAGUCUGACGGAGCAACGCCGCGUGAGUGAUGAAGGCUUUCGGGUCGUAAAACUCUGUUGUUAGGGAAGAACAAGUGCUAGUUGAAUAAGCUGGCACCUUGACGGUACCUAACCAGAAAGCCACGGCUAACUACGUGCCAGCCGCCGCCAGCG